UGAACAAGUGGCUUUAAAACUCCGACAAUGAUAGCCUAUUUCGUCGUUUUCACGUCGAUUGCUGUUAUAAAAAGCUCGCUAUCGUUAUCGAUGGCAUAUGCGCUUGUGACCGGUUAAUUGCUCCAAAGAAGAUUAUUUCCUGUCACUAUCUCUACAAGUAGCUUUAUAAAAUGCAAUGUUUCAUUGCUUCCUAUUCUUUCUCUUAAAGUCCGCCUUAUGAUUAUAAUUUCAUUUAUUUAACGAAUCUAUUCGACAUAUUAAGAAACAGAAAUAAAAGUGCACAAAAGAAUGAUGGAUUUUGUUGAAACAAGAUAAAAGGAUCAAAUCCAAUGUCCUUAACUUAUGAUUCAAUUUAAUAAGAAUAUGAAAAGUAUGUAACGCCAACGCAAAAGAAACAAAUUACAUUAUGAUGUUUCUUGUUUUCCACACAUAUCUUAAUAACUAAGCCUGUUGUAAAUACAACAGUUUCAACAGUAUACGACCUUGUGAUUGUCGGUUGUUUCGAAAUAUAAUUGUCGAUACAUUGGUUCGGAUGUUUUCAUUGUUAUUUAUGAGAAUGCUAAACUUUUUCCUUCUUUUCCCAUCAGUUCCUAUCACCCAAGUAAGUGAUAAAGGAUUUGUUAAACAAACCAAGGUUAUAACAACCAAAAAGACAUUAAAAUCUUGAAUGGACUUGUUAAUAAGUGUCGAAAUAUCAAAUAUUCAUUUUGCACUAUUAUAGAAAACAAAAUAAAUUCGUUGUACUUUUGAUAGUUUCUCAUCUAACAGAAAUAAUAACAUCCUUCUUGUACAAUCAUUUUAGCAAACAAUUUCUUAUAUGUUACCUAAAUAACUUCAAUGGUAACAUUUAUAUUGACUCUCGAGAUAAAAUCAACUGUAAAAUAAAGAGUGGAUAUGUAAAUGAAUAAUAGCUUGAAAUAUUUCUCGUUUAUGAAAUCCUAUCAUUACAAUGGAUUUGGUUAACUGGAGCACAUCUUGAUGGCCCCUAAGGAAUUCGCGAGGCAUUAUAAUGGAGUGGAGGCAUCUGGAAAGAUGGCCAUCGAUACGACGUCAAUUGAAUGCAAGAACGCGAAAGUAUCUUCGCCACGCGCGACUGCUUUGCGCUUCCUCGAACCACCACAUUUCGUAACCUGCGUUUAAUACGGAUGUCAACAUACAUCGAGAGGCCAAACAAAUAAACCGAAGACAACGAACGAUUUCGCGAACCGUUGGACGCGUAUUGCUAUGAACAAAACGUACCAGAAAUCAACAACGAUCCAGCAAUCCGCGCUACACGCACUUUUUCGUUAAAUAAGUAAGCUCCAGAUUACUUAUUUACGUUCAUUGUUUUAACUAACGUUACCCAUUUAAGAUCCUGUAUUUAUUUCGCUGGAAAUCAAAUGAAAGCACUCAGAACCCUCAUAGAAAGUUUCUAAAUUAAAAAAAUUACUGAGAAAGGCAUGUGGCGAAAAUUAAAUUUGUUUUACCUUUCAUAAUUUCUCAUCUAAUAGAAAUAAUAAUAUCUUUCUUGCAUAAUAAUUAUAGCAAACAAUUUCUUAUAUGUUAUCUAAAUAACUUCAAUUGUAACAUUUAUCAGCAAACGAUCUCUUCUAAAUUAAAAUAUUAGGUUGUCCGAAAAGUUUCUUUCGCUUUAUUAAUAAGUAAUACAUGCACAAUAUUUUAUGUUUUAUGUUACAUUACUGAAUUGUGCACGAUUCAUUUCGCUCCAUUACUGUUACAACAUGAAUAUCUAUGAAAUUAGAUUGUCUAUUUAUAUAAACACAACCACAUAAAAUAAUUGAGUGCAACUCGCGAAAGAAACUUUCGGGACAACCUAAUAUAUUCAAACUAGAUACUGUCUUAGAAUUUCUGAGUAACCUAGCCACCCUAAAUUCAAAAAUGAAAUAACUAUUCGCGACGCAAAUUGUUGAUAAUUCAACCCAUUCCAACGGAAAAUCGCGUAGAAUUUGUAUACGCGUCAUCGUGGAUCGCGUUCAUCGCAUACUUCUUGCGAUUCAUCUUGCGCCAGUCCAACCUUGACGGCACAUAGUUGCAUCUCUAAUAGGCGACCGCUCGAGUGGUCGCAAUUAGCGUUACAAAACUAGCUUUAUUACGGCUCUAUGAUUAGCCUCGAUUCUUGUGAAAGCACCCACACAGAGACGCGACACGCCGCCUAACAGUGAAUUCUAAUUUGAUUAAUUGCUUCCAAACACGAACUCGCGCGAAACAGAGUCAGUUGCCAUCCUGCCAGGAGGACGGACGCGUACGGGACAAUUAGGCGAGAACUAGAAUACGUUGAAGCAGUUGCAGCGCAACAAUUCACCUGUUCAGCCCAGAGAAGCUACGAAUGGUGUCUAGAAAUAUCAGACACCAUGGAAAUUCAAAAUACUUCGAUACUCCAAAAUAUUGGGUAAUGUUCUCACUUGAAACGGGUACAAAGGUAGGUUCAGAUUGCAUUUGAAUAUCUAAUUUUGCUUAGUUUUAGCUUGAAGUACUUUUGAAAUUUCGAUAGACCUGGACAAUAAUGUGUAAGACUUGGGAUUUGGGGGAAAAUAUUAUUCUACCUCCUACAGCAAAUUAUGGCGAAGCGUCACGAGUUAGAGCUACUAUGGCAACAUCAGAUCUAGAGCCUGUCGACGCGUUUGAACCUAUAUCUUCCAACAAGAUAAGGUUUCUUGUCACGCUCCAAAGAGAACUAAGGAUUAUUCGUCGAAAAUAAUAUGCCUAAUGCUUCUGAACACAGAUUAAAAAACCAGCAAGUUUCGCGUAGAAUGAAUGUACUUACCAUUGCAAAUGUAUAGCAAAGUGAGAGUAACACGGGACCUCUAUAAAGACAAUACUGGACUGGCGUACACAAUCACGAUAUCGGUAUCAGCGCGUUAUCGUCGUGGACUCGAUAUCUGUGAAAAUCUGGUGGCAUUGUAGAGCUCGUAUUCAGCGAACUCGUUCUAUGACUGUGCAGAAACUUUUUUUUUCGAACACACGAAACAACACUGUGCUACGUGUCUUCUUAGUAUCACAUUGAUGGAACUAUGGUUCACUGAUGAUGGCGCGAGGCACAGAUAGUGGUACACAAUUAAUCAUCCUCGUCGAAUAUCAAGUAUUGGCGUACAUUCUGAUUAACAAUCGAUCACCCAAGUCGAGGAGUUGGCAGAGAAAAGUAUUCCACGCGCAAGAAUUAAAUAUCGCGGCGGAAACACGAAGGAUCUAGGAGGAUAACACGCUCGCAACUUCCGGUCGUGGGAUGAAUCCUCUUCCUCCGAUCGAGGGACUCCUCGAACGCUUUCGAUGCUUUCGAACGGAAUAGAUGGUUUGGUAUAUGAUCACUGAGUGAGACUGAGAGACGAGAGUGAAGUUAAGUGUGUAACAGUGCCAGCAAAGCAAUGCUGAAUGCUGAUAAACCCCUCCAGGCUGUGUCAGGUGUAUACGUACGUAUACACGUGCGUGCGCGCAGGCUAACUUCUUGCAAGGGUAUCCGUGUCCUCCGCGCUCACCGAUGAAGUCAAUAUGCGACACGGUUACGCGUUUACGUGGGUAUUGUUAAAUUCUUGUAUCAGAAUCGCGUAAACAUCGCCGCGUAGACGCGCAGACAUUGAAGAACGUGGCAGACGCGAGUGACGCUCUUGUCUACCGAGCACACCUGUCUCUGGAAAAAACUGUGUAAACAUUGUGGUCUCAAGCCCUUUUCGAUUACACAAGUCUUCCAUGUAUGGAGGCAGUAAUUACAGGACAGUGACUAGAAGUCAUUUUGCUCGUCUUUCCAUGUUGAGAAUUUGCUUGGAAAUUAUUUUAUUUGGUAACGACGAACCGUGAUCGGUGAAAUCGACGUUCAUUUUUAUGAAUUCUCGAUAAAUUGAUUCCGGGAAAAAAUAAGAAACAACAUUAGAAAGAGAAGCAACGUUUCAAUUAGUCUUUCCAUACGCGAAUUUCGAAGUUAAUGUUUGUUUUGCACAGGUGUAAUUGCGACACAGGUGUAAUUACAGGUGUAAUUGUGAAAUAAACGUAUCGUUAUAUA